UACGUAGGGGCCGAGCGUUGUCCGGAGUUAUUGGGCGUAAAGCGCGCGCAGGCGGCUUCGCGCGCCCGACGUGAAAGCCCCCGGCUUAACCGGGGAGAGUCGUUGGGGACGGCGGAGCUUGAGGGCGGGAGAGGUCGGUGGAAUUCCCGGUGUAGUGGUGAAAUGCGUAGAGAUCGGGAGGAACACCUGUGGCGAAGGGGGCCGGCUGGGCCGACCCUGACGCUGAGGCGCGAAGGCGUGGGGAGCGAACGGG
rnacentral:rRNA from 1 species